UACGGGGGGGCAAGCGUUGUUCGGAAUUACUGGGCGUAAAGGGCUCGUAGGCGGCAAACUAAGUCCGACGUGAAAUCCCAAGGCUUAACCUUGGAACUGCGUCGGAUACUGGAUGGCUUGAAAUCGGGAGAGGGAUGCAGAAUUCCAGGUGUAGCGGUGAAAUGCGUAGAUAUCUGGAGGAAUACCGGUGGCGAAGGCGGCAUCCUGGACCAUUACUGACGCUGAGGCGCGAAAGCUAGGGGAGCAAACGGG
rnacentral:rRNA from 1 species